rnacentral:rRNA from 1 species
AACCGCUGAAAGCAUCUAAGCGGGAAGCGAGCCCUGAGAUGAGUCAUCCCUGACCCCUUGAGGGUCCUAAAGGGCCGUUGGAGACCACAACGUUGAUAGGUGGGGUGUGUAAGCGCGGCGACGUGUUGAGCUAACCCAUACUAAUUACCCGUGAGGCUUAACCAUACAACACCCAAGAAGUGUUCU